GACGAACGCUGGCGGCGUGCCUAAUACAUGCAAGUCGAACGCUGAAGAGAGGAGCUUGCUCUUCUUGGAUGAGUUGCGAACGGGUGAGUAACGCGUAGGUAACCUGCCUUGUAGCGGGGGAUAACUAUUGGAAACGAUAGCUAAUACCGCAUAACAAUGGAUGACACAUGUCAUUUAUUUGAAAGGGGCAAUUGCUCCACUACAAGAUGGACCUGCGUUGUAUUAGCUAGUAGGUGAGGUAAUGGCUCACCUAGGCGACGAUACAUAGCCGACCUGAGAGGGUGAUCGGCCACACUGGGACUGAGACACGGCCCAGACUCCUACGGGAGGCAGCAGUGGGGAAUCUUCGGCAAUGGGGGCAACACUGACCGAGCAACGCCGCGUGAGUGAAGAAGGUUUUCGGAUCGUAAAGCUCUGUUGUAAGUCAAGAACGGGUGUGAGAGUGGAAAGUUCACACUGUGACGGUAGCUUACCAGAAAGGGACGGCUAACUACGUG
rnacentral:rRNA from 1 species